GAUGAACGCUAGCGGCAGGCUUAAUACAUGCAAGUCGAGGGGCAGCAUGACUGUAGCAAUACAGUUGAUGGCGACCGGCAAACGGGUGCGGAACACGUACAGAACCUUCCUUCGAGCGGGGAAUAGCCCAGAGAAAUUUGGAUUAAUACCCCAUAGUAUUACGGAGUGGCAUCACUUUGUAAUUAAAGAUUUAUCACUUGAAGAUGGCUGUGCGGCUGAUUAGGUAGUUGGCGGGGUAACGGCCCACCAAGCCUGCGAUCAGUAACUGGUGUGAGAGCACGACCAGUCACACGGGCACUGAGACACGGGCCCGACUCCUACGGGAGGCAGCAGUAAGGAAUAUUGGUCAAUGGACGAAAGUCUGAACCAGCCAUGCCGCGUGGAGGAUGAAGGUCCUCUGGAUUGUAAACUUCUUUUAUAUGGGACGAAAAAAGGCUUUUCUAAGUCGUCUGACGGUACCAUAUGAAUAAGCACCGGCUAACUCCGUGCCAGCCGCCGCAGUAAAAC
rnacentral:rRNA from 1 species